UACAGAGGUCUCAAGCGUUUGUUCGGAUUCAUUGGGCGUAAAGGGUGCGUAGGCGGCGCGGUAAGUCGGGUGUGAAAUCUCGGAGCUUAACUCCGAAACUGCAUUCGAUACUGCCGUGCUUGAGGACUGGAGAGGAGACUGGAAUUUACGGUGUAGCGGUGAAAUGCGUAGAUAUCGUAAGGAAGACCAGUGGCGAAGGCGGGUCUCUGGACAAGUUCCUGACGCUGGAGACGCGAAAGCGUGGGGAGCAAACAGG
rnacentral:rRNA from 1 species